rnacentral:rRNA from 1 species
UGGGGAAUCUUGCACAAUGGGGGCAACCCUGAUGCAGCGACGCCGCGUGAGCGAUGAAGCCCUUCGGGGCGUAAAGCUCUUUCGACCGGAACGAUAAUGACGGUACCGGGAGAAGAAGCUGCGGCUAACUAUGUGCCAGCAGCCGCGGUAAUACGUAGGCAGCAAGCGUUGUUCGGAGUUACUGGGCGUAAAGAGUGCGUAGGCGGUUUUCUAAGUUCGGUGUGAAAUCUCCCGGCUUAACUGGGAGGGUGCGCCGAAGACUGGGAAGCUGGAGUGUGGGAAAGGCAGGCGGAAUUCCUGGUGUAGCGGUGAAAUGCGUAGAUAUCAGGAGGAACACCGGCGGUGUAGACGGCUUGCUAGACCAUAACUGACGCUGAGGCACGAAAGCGUGGGUAGCAAAC